CUGGCGGCGGCUCUGUGUCACGCGCCCCCCCUCCCGCCCCUUCCCGCAGACCAGAGACUGUGUAUGAAGGCAGCUCAGACUAAGAAGAUUGGUGCCCACCGCUGGCCUCCGUCAUCCUGCUGAUUUGAGAAGUCUGGAAUCCUUCACCUCUGAUUGUACUCGGAGCUAUAGCGGCAGAAGCGGCAGCUCUGCCCCCUGGUGGACAUAUGAGGCACAGCGCCCUUCUCCGAUUCCAGAAGCCCUGUCACGGUAGAGGCUAGAGGAGUUGGCCUUCCUGAGGCCUGGCGCUUUGGAGUGGAGGAUAAAACGAAAAAGUCUCUGGCGAUGCCACUGAAGGUGGAGGAGGAGACUGAGCCCGUUACCGUAGCAACACAGGCCAAUGGUUCUCCGUCCGUCCUCCGUCUGUCCAUCCAUCCACCCACAAAUGAGUUUUGUCCAUGACAAAAACUCAGACGUGAACGAAAGAAAGAUCUGACGGUAGCCAAUGACCCCAAACCCUCAGCUGCAGAGUGGAGAGGGAGACAGAGCACAAGUGGGGGA